rnacentral:piRNA from 1 species
UGCCUUUGCUUCAUUCUUGCCCUGGG